rnacentral:rRNA from 1 species
UUAAAUUGAAGAGUUUGAUCAUGGCUCAGAUUGAACGCUGGCGGCAGGCCUAACACAUGCAAGUCGAACGGUAACAGGAAUCAGCUUGCUGAUUCGCUGACGAGUGGCGGACGGGUGAGUAAUGUCUGGGAAACUGCCUGAUGGAGGGGGAUAACUACUGGAAACGGUAGCUAAUACCGCAUAACGUCGCAAGACCAAAGAGGGGGACCUUCGGGCCUCUUGCCAUCGGAUGUGCCCAGAUGGGAUUAGCUAGUAGGUGGGGUAACGGCUCACCUAGGCGACGAUCCCUAGCUGGUCUGAGAGGAUGACCAGCCACACUGGAACUGAGACACGGUCCAGACUCCUACGGGAGGCAGCAGUGGGGAAUAUUGCACAAUGGGCGCAAGCCUGAUGCAGCCAUGCCGCGUGUAUGAAGAAGGCCUUCGGGUUGUAAAGUACUUUCAGCGGGGAGGAAGGGGGUAAAGUUAAUACCUUUGCUCAUUGACGUUACCCGCAGAAGAAGCACCGGCUAACUCCGUGCCAGCAGCCGCGGUAAUACGGAGGGUGCAAGCGUUAAUCGGAAUUACUGGGCGUAAAGCGCACGCAGGCGGUUUGUUAAGUCAGAUGUGAAAUCCCCGGGCUCAACCUGGGAACUGCAUCUGAUACUGGCAAGCUUGAGUCUCGUAGAGGGGGGUAGAAUUCCAGGUGUAGCGGUGAAAUGCGUAGAGAUCUGGAGGAAUACCGGUGGCGAAGGCGGCCCCCUGGACGAAGACUGACGCUCAGGUGCGAAAGCGUGGGGAGCAAACAGGAUUAGAUACCCUGGUAGUCCACGCCGUAAACGAUGUCGACUUGGAGGUUGUGCCCUUGAGGCGUGGCUUCCGGAGCUAACGCGUUAAGUCGACCGCCUGGGGAGUACGGCCGCAAGGUUAAAACUCAAAUGAAUUGACGGGGGCCCGCACAAGCGGUGGAGCAUGUGGUUUAAUUCGAUGCAACGCGAAGAACCUUACCUGGUCUUGACAUCCACAGAACUUUCCAGAGAUGGAUUGGUGCCUUCGGGAACUGUGAGACAGGUGCUGCAUGGCUGUCGUCAGCUCGUGUUGUGAAAUGUUGGGUUAAGUCCCGCAACGAGCGCAACCCUUAUCCUUUGUUGCCAGCGGUCCGGCCGGGAACUCAAAGGAGACUGCCAGUGAUAAACUGGAGGAAGGUGGGGAUGACGUCAAGUCAUCAUGGCCCUUACGACCAGGGCUACACACGUGCUACAAUGGCGCAUACAAAGAGAAGCGACCUCGCGAGAGCAAGCGGACCUCAUAAAGUGCGUCGUAGUCCGGAUUGGAGUCUGCAACUCGACUCCAUGAAGUCGGAAUCGCUAGUAAUCGUGGAUCAGAAUGCCACGGUGAAUACGUUCCCGGGCCUUGUACACACCGCCCGUCACACCAUGGGAGUGGGUUGCAAAAGAAGUAGGUAGCUUAACCUUCGGGAGGGCGCUUACCACUUUGUGAUUCAUGACUGGGGUGAAGUCGUAACAAGGUAACCGUAGGGGAACCUGCGGUUGGAUCACCUCCUUACCUUAAAGAAGC